AGGUCGGAACACAUCCAGACUCCUUAAGGGACGUCCUCUUUCUGUUUCUGACACUUUUCAAAGCCAGGGACUUGUCCAAUCCCACCUCCCCACUGCUCCUAGGUCCUGAGGCUCAGCACCCUUGGCUUCUGUCCUCCCUGCUCAGGGCCCUCCAGCGUUGCCACUGCUCAGCCAUGCUCCUGCUGCUCGUCCCAGUGCUUGAGGUGGUUUUUACCUUGGGAGGAACCAGAGCCCAGUCUGUGACUCAGCUUGACAGCCAAGUCCCUGUCUUUGAAGAAGCCCCUGUGCUGCUGAGGUGCAACUACUCAUCGUCUGUUUCAGUGUAUCUCUUCUGGUAUGUGCAAUACCCCAACCAAGGACUCCAGCUUCUCCUGAAGUAUUUAUCAGGACCCACCCUGGUUAAAGGCAUCAAUGGUUUUGAGGCUGAAUUUAAGAAGAGUGAAACUUCCUUCCAUUUGAGGAAACCCUCAGCCCGUAUAAGCGACACGGCUGAGUACUUCUGUGCUGUGAGUGACACAGUGCCUGAGACUGCAGAGGAGCUGAACACAAACCUCCUGAGAUGCUGAGGCUUUCUGUGACUCAAGAACUCAACCUGUGGAGCUUUCAAGAAGGCCUCUUUUUUUCUGUGCCCCUUUUGAAGGCAUAUAGGGCAGGGUAGGCUGAGCCCUUGGUAGGGUUUGUCUCCUGAAUAAUUGCUCCAAUGUCAAUGUCGUGCCACAUUCAGAUACGCUUUGUCCCACAUGGAGGUUUACUGAUGAAUUUCUUCAGUGGGGACCUCCUCCACACUCUGAAGAAAGUACAUCCUAGGGUGUCAGGGCUCCUAAAUAAAAGGCAACAACAUUUUUAUAAAAAAUUAUUUCUAGCAUUCAUCAUGAUUAGUAUUGCCUCAGGAGUUAACUUGUGAAUAACUGAUGUAAUAAUCUGAUUAGAAUGUUAGCUAAAAGCUGUGCAGGAUGGAUUCUCAAUUAGGGCAACCCAUGCAGCACAGAUUCUCAAUCAGUGUACUGCAGAUUCUCAACCUAGAUUUGAAGCUUAACUUCCAGCACAUACAUAAUAUCCCACUGUGUGGUACUGACAUGUUUAAAGUAAAUUAGACAUAGUAUCAAGAUUUUUAAUCUUGUAAGCAUUAUGCAAAGCAGGAAAUUAAACAUGAAUCUUAAUACAAUAUUGAAAAACUAAGCCAUCAAGUUGUGAUCUUUUUUAAAACAGCUAUUCCAGUGAUUUUCAAGUUCCAAAUCUGAGGGAUAAAAAUGUAACCAGUAUAAAGAUAUCAAAUACACUAGAUUCAGCUACUUUAAAAACUACUUUAAAACUCUGAGGCACUCCAUUUUAAGAGAUUAUACAGAUUUAUUUUACGAAAUUACACAACAAAAAUUUCUGGUUACAUUAUCAGAGCAUAUAUUAAUUCUAAUGGGUUUCUCCAAGACCAGGGUACACUAUUAUUUACUCUGAAAUAAUUAUAUCAAAAAAUCAACAUGUCUAAGAUAUUUUAUGUACAUGAUUAUUACUCCAAAUUUUUAUUUAUAGUUUGAUCACAUGGUGAAUUUAAAAAAUGCCUCUCAAAGUAUUAUAAAAUGUUCACACAGACAGAAAUUAAGUCUUCCUUAAUUUUACUUUUUAUAAUUUUUGAUGACAAAAAUUAUGAAGUGAAUUAUCUUGCUUCUUAAAAAUAUUUAUAAUUGCCUAAAUCUCCUCUUUUAAAAUGAGAUGAAGUCAUAUUCUUCCCUUAUUAUGAAACAUGCCUUUAAAGUAGUUUAAAAAUAUUCCUAUGAAUUGAGCUAAAAGAGGGUAGAGGAUUUAUAAUCAAAGCUGUUUAGAGUUGGCUUCUUCUCUUGCACCAAAGACUCAGGUUCUUGCUUAUGGUUUCUUUGGCUGCUGACAUUCUUUAGUUACUUCUUAGUGUGCCACCUCUUCCAGUUUUACUUUUGUCUUCGUUUCAUUUUUGUUUGUAGUUUUUCUUACAGAUUUGUCCUUCCAUUGUGCAUUUUAUGGUCCUUUAUUUUGAUUAUGUUCAAAUUUUACAGGCCAAGAACACUUAACAUGAUGUCUAUUUUAACAAUUUUUUUAAGUGUACAACUCAGUUAACUAUUGGCCCAAUGUUGUGUAGCAGAUCUCUAGUAAUUCUUCAUCUUAUCUAAUGGAAACUUUGUACCCCUUCAUCAACAUCCUCCCACUUCUUCCCCCAGCCCCAAGAAUGGUAACCACCAUUCUACUCUCUACUUCUAUUAGUUUGACUAUUUUAGAUAUCUCAUGUAAGUGGA